UAGCCAUUUCCUCAGCAGC
rnacentral:miRNA from 1 species